rnacentral:lncRNA from 1 species
AUGCCCGGUGCUCUGCUUCUCUCUGCAAGCGGCUCCAACGGCCAGCGCCGGGCCAGGCAGAAGCCAGGAGGCUUGACCUCCAUUCAGGGCGCCCAGGAGGCCGGGAGGCGUGGUCCCUGGGUCACAGGCUGGAGAGGCCGCCCCGCCUGCAGCCCUGGGGCUUCGGAGGCUGGACGCGGCAGGCAGCGCGGAGGUGCGUCCCGCGGCGCCACGGCGGCCGCCCAUGGGGAGUGCGCCUGCGCCCGGCGCUGUGACCCGGAAGUGGCCCCUUGUGCCCCGGAAGUGGCCCCUUGUGGCCCGCGGCGCUCAGGUAGGAGUCCUCGCGGGUCCCGUCCGCUGCUGCCGGAGAGCCCGCGCGAGCCGUCGGGAGCCGUCCUGGACGCUGCCGGCGGAGCCUGCGGGAGACCCAGCGCCCCCGGGGUCAGGCCGGGCUCAGAGAGGCUGCGGCCCGAGGCUGCCGCGCCGUUUCCCGGGCGCGGUUCUCUUCUUCGGCCCCUCGUGGAAGCAGCGGCCUUCGCGGGCCUCUGUGCCGCCAGCAGACCGGGCCCCCUUGGCGCAUCCAGCGUCGUGGAGUUCUUUGUUGGAACAUGUGCUGAGCACUGGCGCCAAGCCUUCGAACAAGGAGGUGAGCAGCCAAGAGCAACACCUGCAGGAAGGGCCGGGCUGCUGGUGUCGGAGGAGUGGCAGUAGGUUCAACAGGACCCUCAGACUGGCAGAGGACAGUGCAGCAGCCAACACACAAAACUACAAUUUGCACAUGGCUAAAGUCCGUGGUUAUCUUACAGCAUCCUGGGCACUUGACAUCCGUGAAGUGGGAAUUGGGUCUCUGCAGCAGGUGCUGCUUCUUGCAUUUCCUGUUCAUUUCUGUAGAGAGAUGGAGGAGCUCCUUUGCUUGAGCAAAUGCACAUCCAUUCAUCAAAAAUGA